UACGGAGGGUGCAAGCGUUAUCCGGAUUCACUGGGUUUAAAGGGUGCGUAGGUGGGUUUGUAAGUCAGUGGUGAAAUCUCCAAGCUUAACUUGGAAACUGCCGUUGAUACUAUAAAUCUUGAAUGUUGUGGAGGUGAGCGGAAUAUGUCAUGUAGCGGUGAAAUGCUUAGAUAUGACAUAGAACACCAAUUGCGAAGGCAGCUCACUACACAAAGAUUGACGCUGAGGCACGAAAGCGUGGGGAUCAAACAGG
rnacentral:rRNA from 1 species